GAUCCUGGCUCGGGAUGAACGCUAGCUACAGGCUUAACACAUGCAAGUCGAGGGGAAACGACAUCGAAAGCUUGCUUUUGAUGGGCGUCGACCGGCGCACGGGUGAGUAACGCGUAUCCAACCUGCCCACCACUUGGGGAUAACCUUGCGAAAGUAAGACUAAUACCCAAUGACGUCUCUAGAAGACAUCUGAAGGAGAUUAAAGAUUUAUCGGUGAUGGAUGGGGAUGCGUCUGAUUAG
rnacentral:rRNA from 1 species